rnacentral:misc_RNA from 1 species
GAAAUGCGAUACGUAAUGUGAAUUGCAGAUUUCAGUGAAUCAUCGAAUCUUUGAACGCACAUUGCGCCCGCCAGUAUUCUGGCGGGCAUGCCUGUUCGAGCGUCAUUUCAACCAUCAAGCUUCGCUUGUGUUGGGGCCCCGCGGCUGCCGCGGUCCCCUAAAUCCAGUGGCGGGCUCGUCGUCGUACCGAGCGCAGUAAACAUCCUCGCUCCGGGAACCCGACGGGUGCCGGCCGUGAAACCCCCCACAUCAAGGUUGACCUCGGAUCAGGUAGGAAUACCCGCUGAACUUAA